GGGUCAGUAGGUUGGUCGUGCCACCGGUACGUACUGGUCUCACUGAUUCCUCCUUCCUGAAGAACCGUAAUGCCAUUAAUUUGGCGUUGCGGGGAAACAGGACUGUUACUUUGAAAAAAUUAGAGUGUUUAAAGCAAGCUAACGCUUGAAUACAUUAGCAUGGAAUAAUGAAAUAGGACGAUCGAUCCUAUUUUGUUGGUUUCUAGGAUUGACGCA
rnacentral:rRNA from 1 species